GGGGCCGUCGUCUAGCCUGGACUAGGAUGCCAGGCUCGGGCCCUGGUGAUCGGGGGUUCAAAUCCCCCCGGCCCCA
rnacentral:tRNA from 1 species